CAGGCAGGUGUAUUUAUACCAUUGGCCUGGUCCUAAUUUGUGCCUUUUGCCAUUAUACCUUGAUGGACAAUUUGCUUACAAUUUCUGCUCUCGGGGGUGGGGGUACUAGGACCAUGGUGUAACUGCUUACGUAGUGGUAUUCAGUAGGGCCUGGCCUGUGCACCCGGCCAGUGAGGACAGCAAAGAGGACAGAGCUCCACUUCACUGCUGGUUGUGUUUUCCUUGGGCCCUUCCUGUUUUGUUCUUACUGGGGGGAAUGUUGGAAUGGAAUGAAAAGGCUUUGUCAGAUCGGGUAGCCCCAGGGCUGGGGCUGCCAGAAGAUUUUCUUGUAACUCAUGAAAAACUUGCUGUUGUUGGGAUCCCCAUUUCAAAAGUUCCGGGUCCCCGACCCCUUUGUGACCUCAUACAAAGGCUUGGCUAAUACUGCAAAGUUUGGGAUCCACAGUCUACAAAACCCCACAGCUCCUAAGAAUUCUCUCACCUGCCUUCUGCCCUUAAGCUCCGGUAGAUUGCAAAUAACCUGCUUUCUUUCUGUUCCCGAGCUGCGUUCGGACCCGUCUGAUCGUAAAUCCCAUGUAAGGUACCUGCCGUCGGAAGAUUUGAACGUUCUACUUGGACACCUAAAACCCACAGUCCUCCAGGUGGGUCCUAAGGAUCUUAGGAGCAACGAUGGGGGGUCCUAAGCCAGGGGGGGAAGAGGGUCUGGCUCUCAGUCCCCGCCUCGCGGGGGGUGCCUCCCCCCUCUGCGAUGGGGGUCCUAAGAGCCAGUGGGGGAACCAGGGGCUGGCUCUCAGUCCCUGCCUCGCGGGGGGUGCCUCCCCCCCCCUGCGAUGAGGGUAGCAACAGCCGGGGGUGGAAGAGGGGAUAACUCUCAGUCCCCACCCUCGCGGGGGGUGCCUCCCCCUCCUGCGAUGGGGGUCCUAAGAGCCAGGGGGGGGAAGAGGGACUGGCUCUCAGUCCCUGCCUCGCGGGGGGUGCCUCCCCCCCUGCGAUGGGGGUACUAAGAGCCAGGGGUGGAAGAGGGGAUAGCUCUCAGUCCCCACUCUCGUGAGGGUUGCCUCCCCCUCCUGCGAUGGGGGUCCUCAGAGCCAGGGGGGGAAGAGGGUCUGGCUCUCAGUAAUCCCACGUAAGGUACCUGCUGUCGGAAGAUUUGAACUUUCUACUUGGACAACUAACACCCACAGUCCUCCAGGUGGGUCCUAAGGAUCUUAGGAGCAACGAUGGGGGGUCCUAAGCCAGGGGGGGAUGAGGGUCUGGCUCUCAGUCCCUGCCUCGCGGGGGGUGCCUCCCCCCUCUGCGAUGGGGGUCCUAAGAGCCAGUGGGGGAACCAGGGGCUGGCUCUCAGUCCCUGCCUCGCGGGGGGUGCCUCCCCCCCCCUGCGAUGAGGGUAGCAACAGCCGGGGGUGGAAGAGGGGAUAACUCUCAGUCCCCACCCUUGCGGUGGGUGCCUCCCCCUCCUGCGAUGGGGGUCCCCAGAGCCAGGGGGGGAAGAGGGACUGGCUCUCAGUCCCUGCCUCGCGGGGGGUGCCUCCGCCCCCAGCGAUGGGGGUCCUAAGAGCAAAGGGGGGAAGAGGGGCUCGCUCUCAGUCCCCGCGUCGCGAGGGGUGCCUCCUCCCCUGUGAUGAGGGUGCAAAGAGCCAGGGGAGGAAAGGGGGAGGUUCGCAGUCCCCGCCUCGCGGGGAUUGCCUCGCCCCCUGCGAUAGUGGUCCCAAGAGCCAGGGGGGGAAGAGGGGUUGGCUCUGAGUCCCCGCCUCGCGGGGGGUGCCUCCCCCCACUGCGAUGGGAGUCCCAAGAGCCAGGGGGUAAGAGGGGAUGGAUCUCAGCCAUCACAAAAUGGGGGGCCUUUAUGUUCAGGUUUUGCCCAAGAAUCAGCUUAUUUGCUUCUUGUACUAGCAGGGCAGUUGCUGCCAAGGCCCUCUAAUAGGGGGGCCAUCCUUUAGAAACCUGUCUAGUUGUUUAGAGACGUAGGCUACCGGCCUCAGCCAGGGCCCCACAGUUUGGGUUAAAAGUCCAGCUGCCAUCUUUUCUCUCUCUGACGCAUACAAUGGAAAAGGCUUUGUCAGAUCGGGUAGCCCCAGGGCUGGGGCUGCCAGAAGUUUUUCCUUUAACUAAUGAAAGACUCGCUGUUGUCGGGAUCCCCAUUUCAAAGUUUCCGGGUCCCCGCCCCCUUUGUGACCUCAUACAAAGGCUUGGCUAAUACUGCAAAGUUUGGGAUCCACAGUCUACAAAACCCCACAGCUCCUAAGAAUUCUCUCACCUGCCUUCUGCCCUUAAGCUCCGGUAGAUUGCAAAUAACCUGCUUUCUUUCUGUUCCCGAGCUGCGUUCGGACCCAUGUCUUAUUGUAAAUCCCACGCAAGGUACCUGCCGUCGGAAGAUUUGAGCUUUCUUCUUGAACACCUCAUACCCACAGUCCUCCAGGUGGUUCCUAAGGAUCUUAGGAUCCCCGAUGGGCGUCCUAAGCCAGUGGGGGAAGAGGGGCUGGCUCUCAGUCCCCGCCUUGCGGGGGGUGUCUCCCCACCCUGUGAUGGGGGUCACAAGAGCCAGAGGGGGAAGAGGGGCUGGCUCUCAACCACCACGAAA
rnacentral:lncRNA from 1 species